ensembl:lncRNA
GGAGAUUAUAACAGAACAUGGCCAAGAUGUUCAAAUGUUCAUAAAUGACCAGCAUGGUCGAAUAAUAAUAAGGCAGAACAGUUGAAACUGGAGCAGCAGCACAGUCAGAUGGAAGUUGAAACUGGAGCAGCAGCAUGGCCAGGUGGACUGGGGACAGCAAGGAGUCAUCAUGUCAGGUAGUCCUGGGGCAUGGUCCUAGGGCCCAGGUCAGUUGAAACUGGAACAGCAGCAUGGCCAGGUGGACUGGGACAGCAAGGAGUCAUCAUGUCAGGUAGUCCUGGAGCUCAGGUCCUAGGGCUC